CGACCUCAGAUCAGACGUGGCGACCCGCCGGAUUUAAGCAUAUUACUAAGCGGAGGAAAAUAAACUAACCAGGAUUCCCUCAGUAAUGGUGAGUGAAGAGGGAAUAGCCCAGCACCAAAUCCCUGCCCGGGCGAUGGGUGAAGGGGAAAUGUGGCAUAUGGAAGUUUGUCUCCCCAGUGCCGCCCAGGGGGCCCAAGUCCUUGUGAUCGAGGCUCAGCUCGUGGAUGGUGUGAGGCCGGUGGCGGCCCCUGGCACAUCAGGAACAGGUCUUCCUGGAGUCGGGUUGUUUGUGAAUGCAGCCCAAAGUGGGUGGUAAACUCCAUCUAAGGCUAAACACUGGCAUGAGACCGAUAGCAGACAAGUACCGUAAGGGAAAGUUGAAAAGAACUUUGAAGAGAUAGAGUUCAAGAGGGCGUGAAACUGUUCAGAGGUAAAUGGGUGGGGUCCGCGUGGUCCACCAGGAGGAUUCAUCAUGGCGGGUGCGCUGGCCGGAUGGGUGAGGCGGUUCCCCUCCACAUCCAGGGGUUGGGGGACUGUCCCCUAGCAUGCUGGUCACCAUCAGGUGCAUUUCCUCUGUGGUCGUGCACCGCGAUCAGCUCCGGGUCGACUGAGAAGGCCAUGCGGAAGGUGGCUUCCCUCAUCGUAGUGGAGUGUUACAGCCUGCAGCAUCAGCCCUCGCCGUGCCCGGGGGUCAUGGGAGAUGACUACCGCUGCAUCUACCCCCGCCCUCUCGGUGGGGGCUGGGGGCUCCCGGUGGGACUGUUGACUGGGCUGGACUGCCCUCAAUGCGGCCUGACUGCAAGGCUCAUCUCGGGUUCCCAGGGUGAUGGUGACCGACCCGUCCCAUCUUGAAACACGGACCAAGGAGUCUAACAGGCGUGCGAGUCCGAGGGUGGACAGGAGACCCCACGGUGCAAUGAAAGUGAGGGCCAGUAAGCACCGGCUGAGGCGGAACCCACCCGCCCCACGUGGGGGGCACACCGCCGGCCCAUCUCACCUGUACCAUCGGGGAGGUGGAGCGUGAGCGCACCUGGUGGGAACUGAAAGAUGGUGAACUAUACCUGGGCAGGGCGAAGCCAGAGGAAACUCUGGUGGAGGUCCAUAACCGUCCUGAUGUGCAAAUCGGUCGUCUGACUUGGGUAUAGGGGUGAAAGACUAAUCGAACCAUCUAGUAGCUGGUUCCCUCUGAAGUUUCCCUCAGGAUAGCUGGCACUCGGCGGAUGCAGUUUUAUCUGGUAAAGCAAAUGAUUAGAGGUCUUGGGGCUGAAACAAUCUCAACCUAUUCUCAAACUUUAAAUGGAUAAGAAGCCCGACUCGCUGGCUUGGAGCCGGGCGUGGAAUGAGAGCGCCCAGUGGGCCACUUUUGGUAAGCAGAACUGGCACAGUGGGAUGAAGUGAACGCCGGGUUAAGGUGCCCAAUGCUGAUGCUCAUCAGACCCCAGAAAAGGUGUUGGUUGAUAUAGACAGCAGGACAGUGGCCAUGGAAGUCAGAAUCUGCUAAGGAAUGUGUAACAACUCACCUGCCGAAUCAACUAGCCCUGAAAAUGGAUGGCGCUGGAGUGUCGGGCCCAUACCCGGCUGCUGCUGGUGCUGGGAGCUGAGGGGCUAUGCCAUGAUGAGUAGGAGGGCCACUGCGGUGGCACUGAAGCCCAGGGCAAGGGCCCGGGUGGAGCCACUGCGGGUGCAGAUCUUGGUGGUAGUAGCAAAUAUUCAAAUGGGAGCUUUGAAGGCCGGAGUGGAGAAGGGUUCCAUGUGAACAGCAGUUGAACAUGGGUCAGUCGGUCCUGAGAGAUAGGUGAGCUCCAUUCGGAAGGGAGAAGUGAUGGCCGAUCGAAAGGGAAUCGGGUUCAGUCCCUGAAUCCGGAGUGGCGGAGAUGGGCACCUCACGGUAUCUAGUGUGGUGAUGCCAACGAUCCCAGAGAAGCCGACGGGGGCCGCUCAGAGAGUUCUCUUUCUUUGUAAAGGGCAAGGGCGCCCUGGAAUGGGUUCGCCCCGUGAGAGGGGCACGCGCCCUGGAAAGCGUUGCGGUUCUAUUGGCGUCUGGUGAGCUCUCACCAGCCCUUGAAAAUCCAGGUGAGAGGGUGUAAGUCUCGCACCUGGCCAUACCCAUAUCUGUAGCAGGUCUCCAAGGUGAACAGCCUCUGGCAUGUUAAGAACAAUGUAGGUAAAGGAAGUCGGUAAGCCAGAUCCGUAACUUCAGGAUAAGGAUUGGCUCUAAGGGCUGGGUCAGUCGGGCUCGGGUGAGAAGAGGGACUGGGUGAGUGCUGCCGCUGGACAAGGCAUUGCCCCCUUGCCGUGCCCCCCCUCAGGGGGGACGGGUGGAUGGCGGCGGUGACUCUGAACACACGCUGGAACCUUCCUGUGGAUUGCCCCGGCUGUGGCGUGCGCCGGUCCUGAAUGGUGUCCUGCAUCGUCCGGCAGCUAGCAGCUGACUUAGAACUUGUGUGGACCGGGGGAAUCCGACUGUUUAACUAAAACAAAGGAUCACAAAGGCCCAAGAUGGGUGUUGACACAAUGUGAUUUCUGCCCAGUGUUCUGAAUGCCAAAGUGAAGAAAUUCAAUGAAGCGCGGGUAAAUGGCAGGAGUAACUAUGACUCUCUUAAGGUAGCCAAAUGCCUCAUCAUCUAAUUAGUGACGCGCAUGAAUGGAUGAAUGAGAUUCCCACUGUCCCUACCUACUAUCUAGCGAAACCACAACCAAGGGAACGGGCUUGGCAGAAUCAGCAGGGAAAGAAGACCUUGUUGAGCUUGACUCUAGUCUGGCACUGUGAAGAGACAUGUGAGGUGUAGAAAAAGUGGGAGGCCUCGGCCACCGAUGAAAUACCAUUACUCUUAUCAUUUUUUACAUACCCAGUGAGGCGGGGGCGUGAGCCUCACUGGGGCUCUCAUUUCUGGCUCUAAGUGCCUGAGCAUCUGGGUGCAACCCACUCCAAGGACAGCGUCAGGUGGGGAGUUUGACUGUCAAAGAGUAAUGCAGGUGUCCUAAGGUGAGCUCAGGGAGGACAGAAACCUCCCAUAGAGCAGAAGGGCAAAAGCUCGCUUGAUCUUGAUUUUCAGUAUGAAUACAGACCAUGAAAGUGGGGCCUCAUGAUCCUUUUGGCUUUUUGGGUUUUAAGCAGGAGGCGUCAGAAAAAUUACCACAGGGAUAACUGGUUUGUGGCAGCCAAGCAUUCGUAGCGAUGUCGCUUUUUGAUCCUUCGAUGUUGGCUCUUCCUGUCAUUCUGAAGCAGAAUUCACCAAGCGUUGGAUUGCCCACCCACUAAUAGGGAACGUGAGCUGGGUUUAGACCGUCGUGAGACAGGUUAGCUUUACCCUAUUAAUGAUAUGUUGUUAUGAUAGUAAUCCUGCUCAGUACGAGAGGAACCACAGAUUCAGACAUUUGGUGUAUGUGCUUGGCUGAGGAGCCAAUGGUACAAAGCUACCAUCUGUGGGAUUAUGACUGAAUGCCUCUAAGUCAGAAUCCUGCCUAAAUGUAACAAUACUUUAGUGCAGUGGAACUCCGGUUGGCCAGGGACAGCCAUCCGCAAGGUCGGUGAGGAGUGCCGCUUGUAACUCGGUUGAAGCGCUGACGGAAGGGGGCCGCCUCUCUCCAGCAGUGCACCACACGUUCCUGAGGAACCAGGUGCUAAAUCAUUCAUAGAUGAUGACCUGAUUCUGGGUCAGGGUUUCGUAAUUAGCAGAGCAGCAAAAAGCUGCAAUCUAUUGAAAGUCAGUCCUCAAGCCAAGCUUUUGU